UCGUCAGUUUGGUUUUCCUUAAUGUGCAGCAGUUUAUCAGCCUAUCUAUAUUGCUGGAGGUUUCCUUACUAAAUAAGAUCAAAAGGACACUGUGUCAUAAGUGAUCACAUGUCAGAUACUGUUUGUAUAAUACAUUCCUCCACUAGCGCAUUACUGGCAUAGGAGUUUCCGUUUCCAUACUGUACAUUGCAUUGGUAGGUGUGGUUUUCUAAAGCAGGUUGCCCUGUAGUCCUGUGCACUACAUUAGACUUCAUAAGAUAAGUGCUGAACAUAAUGUUACCCUUGUUGCAAAUAACAUAAAAUAUUCCCACCCUUAUGACUGUCAUUUCAAUUCCCAUAAACUAGGCCAUCAGGUGAAGUGACCAUAAAGAGAUAAUGAGGGAGAUAUAACUGAGGUGAAGUAUGGAAAGUGAAACUUAAGUAAAGGGAAACUCAUCCAUUGGAAUGAUGCUAGCGUCACUCAGCAGGCCUAUAUAUUGUCCCUCCCGGUGACUGAAACUCUUAACUUGGAAAGACAUCACAUCCCAGACAGAGCACACCAUGGGCGUCCAGGGAUUGACCAGCAUUAUGGAGGAGAAUCCUCCAUCUCAAUUACAUGCACAUGGUCAAUUAUGCAAAUUAGGAUCGGGCUCCAAGGUCAGUGCAGCUUGAGGUGUUUUUGGAGACCCUUGGUGUGUCCCAGUCCACUUUGAGCUGUGUCCGGCCUCAUCUGUGUCUUCCUUCACCCAUCCCCGACCAGACUUGCCUCUUAUUUGUGUACCGUCGAUGACUGUCAUUGACAUUGUUUUUAGCAUUAACUAUAAAAUAAGUUUAUAAAUGAUAGAUGUAGAUUUUAUAAAUGAUAAGACUGAAAAAUGUAUAAUAUACACAUAUAUAAAAAAGUUAAGUUUGACUUAUUUCUUUGCUCUCUACUGUAAAGCGUAUUUUGGUCUUUGAAAAUAGCUAUAUAAAUCCCAUGUAUUAUUACAAUUACAUUACUGCUGCACUGGAAAUAUUUUAUCUUCAUUUUAUAAUAAAAAUGAAAAAUAACAUUUAAACCAGCUAUUGUUGAGAAUUAUUUGGUAUACACAAUAAAGUCCAACUCUGCUAUGGCAGUAUAUUUUAUAUGGAAAUCUUAAACUGAAUAAAUCUUAGAUAUUGUAGUUUUUAGCUCAAUCUGAGCAAAAAUGAGAUUUUCAGAAUUGUG